rnacentral:rRNA from 1 species
GACGAACGCUGGCGGCGUGCUUAACACAUGCAAGUCACGGGGGCCCGCAAGGGCAACCGGCGAACGGGUGCGUAACACGUGAGCAAGCUUCCGAUUUGUGGGGGAUAGCCGGCCUAACGGCCGGGUAAUACCGCAUACGUUCACCGGACGGCAUCGUCUGGUGAGGAAACCUCCGGGGCAAAUCGAGGCGCUCGCGGCCUAUCAGCUAGUUGGCGGGGUAACGGCCCACCAAGGCGACGACGGGUAGCUGGUCUGAGAGGAUGGCCAGCCACAUUGGUACUGCGACACGGCCCAGACUCCUACGGGAGGCAGCAGUGGGGAAUAUUGCGCAAUGGACGAAAGUCUGACGCAGCGACGCCGCGUGUGGGAUGACGCCUUUCGGGGUGUAAACCACUGUUGCCCGGGACGAAACUCCUUUUUCGAGAGGAUUGACGGUACCGGGUGAGGAAGCACCGGCUAACUCUGUGCCAGCAGCCGCGGUAAUACAGAGGGUGCGAGCGUUGUCCGGAAUCACU